rnacentral:lncRNA from 1 species
AUGGGUGUUGACGGCUUCAUGAUGGUAAGAAGAGAACCCCCAGUCAUCCAGCUGGCGUGGCAGCCAAAGAGAAACACUUAAUCGGAUGGAGAUGAGAGCCCACCAGAGCAUAUAAUAGUCGCUGCUCCAAGAAGGCUGAGAUUCUAGGAUGCACGCACAGCCCACUCUCAACUCAUGACCUCCUCUGUGCCCAGGGAGCAGAACCUGCUAAUGAGAGGAACAGAAAAACCCACACAGAGUUAGAGGAAAAAGAACAAUAACUGAAAAUCCUAAGGAAUUCUUCCACUUCCUAGACAUGUAAGCACAAAUUUGGAAUGCUGGGUAGAAGACUCCCCAACAGAUGGGGAAACUGAGGUCGAUUGAAGUUAAGUGACGUACCAAGGUCACCCAGCCAUCAGUGACAGAGCCAGGAGUCAAACCUGGAUCAUCUGACUCCAGUGCACAGGCUCUGAAGGAUCCAGAAUGCUCUGAAACAUUCCAAGCCGUGUUGCAUCCUCACUCAGAAACCCUUGUUCUUCCUGUCAUCCCAGGGAGCCCUCCAAGCCCCACCAGAGUUCCAGAAAUCCACACUUUUGGGGAGGCACCAAGCUAUGGGGUAGAGUGUCCCACCCUCCUCCUUUUCUACCAGCAUCUGGCAACCGUUCUGGGGAGAAUGGAGACAGUGGCUCUUCCUGUGGCUUUCUUUGCUCACAGGGACCUGCUGCCUGGUUCUUGGCAAUUCUGCAUCUCCACAGCAUCCAAGUUUUCAUUGCCUAACACCAGAAAUCCUGUGGUCAUUGCCAUGGCACCUCAUAGGCUUCCCUGACCCCUUCCCACUGCCAUGCAAGACCUACACAGAGAUUCUCGUCUCUGGAAAUAUGCCACCUGGACCAGCCCAUUAUUUCUUUGGCUCAGACCCAAACUCACUCUUCAACCUCCUUCCCUACUGAACACAGGACUCCCUAGUACCAAAAACACUCACCACAUGCUUAUCAUGUCUGGGAUAGGCACUGCACUCUACAGUUACAAGCACUGCCUAAUUCAAUUCACCCAACUACUCUUUGGAGACACGUUAUCUUCAUUUACAUAUAGGAAAAUACAUAAGAUGGUAAUUGGCAGAGAAAGAACCCCAAAAGUUCUUAACACUCUUACAAGGGAAUUUGCAAUAAUAACAGGAAAAUAAUAAGUUUUUGGCAUUCUUUAGAAAAAGAAAAUAUUCAAAAAAUUAAUUCAACUAUCUGGUAGUAGGUAAGCACCAUGAGGGCAUAGAUUUUUGCCUGUUUUGUUCACUGACUUGUCUCAGUGCUAGAACUUGGUUCAGUACAUAGUAGAUGCUCAAUAAAGAACUUUGAAUGAAUGCUUUGUAGACUCUCCUGGUUCAUUUAUUUUUUCAACAAAACAUAUAUUAUGUGUUAGGCUCUGGACUAGGAGCUGGAGUUACAAAGAUGAACAAGACAUGUUUCCAUCCCACA